UAGCCUAGUUGUUAAGGCUAUGGAUCACCAAUCCAAAGACGGCGGGUUCGAUUCCCGU
rfam:Aedes albopictus isolate Foshan contig171473, whole genome shotgun sequence.